AUUGAACGCUGGCGGCAGGCCUAACACAUGCCAGUCGAGCGGCUGAAGGGAUCUUGCUCCUUGAUUCAGCGUCGGACUGGUGAGUAAUUCCUAGGAAUCUGCCUUGUAUUGGGUGAUAACGUCCGGAAACGGGCGCUAAUACCGCAUACGUCCUGUGGGAGUAAGUGGGGGAUCUUCGGACCUCACGCUAUCUUAUGAGCCUAGGUCGGAUUAGCUAGUUGGUGGGGUAAAGGCCUACCAAGGCGACGAUACGUAACUGGUCUGAGAGGAUGAUCAGUCAAACUGGAAGUGAGACACGGUAAAGACUCCUACGGGAGGAAGCAGUGGGGAAUAUUGGACAAUGGGCGAAAGCCUGAUCCAGCCAUGCCGCGUGUGUGAAGAAGGUCUUCGGAUUGUAAAGCACUUUAAGUUGGGAGGAAGGGCAGUAAGUUAAUACCUUGCUGUUUUGACGUUACCAACAGAAUAAGCACCGGCUAACUUCGUG
rnacentral:rRNA from 1 species